GUGAUGAAGAGGAGGAGGAGGAGGUGAUAGAAGACAGUGAUGAUGGUGAUCAUGGUGAUGAAGAGGAGGAGGAGGUGAUAGAAGACAGUGAUGAUGGUGAUCAUGGUGAUGAGGAGGAGGUGAUAGAAGACAGUGAUGAUGGUGGUCAUGGUGAUGAGGAGGAGGUGAUAGAAGACAGUGAUGAUGGUGAUGAUGGUGAUGAUGAGGAGGAGGAGGUGAUAGAAGACAGUGAUGAUGGUGAUCAUGGUGAUGAGGAGGAGGUGAUAGAAGACAGCGAUGAUGGUGAUGAUGGUGAUGAGGAGGAGGAGGAGGUGAUAGAAGACAGUGAUGAUGGUGAUGAUGGUGAUGAUGAGGAGGAGGAGGUGAUAGAAGACAGUGAUGAUGGUGAUCAUGGUGAUGAGGAGGUGAUAGAAGACAGUGAUGAUGGUGAUGAUGGUGAUGAGGAGGAGGACGAGGUGAUAGAAGACAGUGAUGAUGGUGAUGAUGAGGAGGAGGAGGUGAUAGAAGACAGCGAUGAUGGUGAUGAUGGUGAUGAGGAGGAGGACGAGGUGAUAGAAGACAGUGAUGAUGGUGAUGAUGGUGAUGAUGAGGAGGAGGAGGUGAUAGAAGACAGUGAUGAUGGUGAUGAUGAGGAGGAGGAGGUGAUAGAAGACAGUGAUGAUGGUGAUGAUGGUGAUGAUGAGGAGGAGGAGGUGAUAGAAGACAGUGAUGAUGGUGGUCAUUGUGUGUUGGAUGUUGGAAGUCAGCUCCUAUUUCCAUCAACAGUCUACAGUAAUGGUUUCUCUUCUUUUUUUCAUUGGAAGAAUAGGUCUGGAGGUUACUGGACUUAACUGAGGAUCUCCAGCACAUUUAGAUAGCUUUGAUUCUGCAUGACUCAAAGAAAGGCAC
rnacentral:lncRNA from 1 species